rnacentral:rRNA from 1 species
GACGAACGCUGGCGGCGUGCUUAACACAUGCAAGUCGAACGGAAAGGCCCCGCCCUUGUGGGGUGCUCGAGUGGCGAACGGGUGAGUAACGCGAGAGUAAACUGCCCUGGCCUCUGGGACAACUUAACGACACUGGGGCUAAUACAGGACAGGAGCUUCUGCUGCUUGGUGGGGGUUGGACAGUGUCGGAGGUUGGGGAGGGAGUCGCGGCGUAUCAGCUUGUUGGUGGGGUAGUGGCUUACAAGGGCUUUGACGGGUAGCCGGCCUGAGCGGGUGACCGGCCACACUGAGACUGCGAUGCGGCCCAGACGCCUACGGUAGUCAGCAGUGGGGGAUAGUCUACUAUGGGCGGAAGCCGUGUGCAACGGCGCCGCGUGCGUUAUGACGGCCUUCGGGUUGUGAACCACGUUCGCCUGGGUCGUAGCGUGGUUGACGGUAAUUGGUAAAGAAGCGCCGGCUAACUACGUG